rnacentral:rRNA from 1 species
UACGAGAGGUCCAAACGUUAUUCGGAAUCACUGGGCUUACAGAGUUCGUAGGCGGUUCUGCAAGUGGGGUGUGAAAGCCCUCGGCUCAACCGAGGAACUGCGCUCCAAACUGUAGAACUAGAGGGAGAUAGAGGUGAGCGGAACUGAUGGUGGAGCGGUGAGAUGCGUUGAUAUCAUCAGGAACACCGGAGGCGAAGGCGGCUCACUGGGUCUCUUCUGACGCUGAGGAACGAAAGCUAGGGGAGCAAACGGG